AAAAAGAAUGCUUGAUGUGCAUGAUGCAUGCAAUGUGUGAUUGUUUGUUCAUGAUGUGUAUGCAAUGCAAAUUAUUAGGUAGCAAUAGUGAGGUUUUUUUGGUGAAAGGUAGACUUUGACUCGUCAGUGUCCAAACCAGAGAACCUGCAAAGAAAAACUUCUAACUGUUGUUGUUUCUUAGGACAUUCCAACUGGAUAAGGACUUCCACCUCGCUCUAUUUGGGGAAAAUAUACUUGAUCCAACCAAGCAGUCUUGUAAUCGUGCGACAAAUGCUUAUUGUAGGCCAUUGAUCAUCCACUGGGAGCUUUUCAGUAAUCAAAGUAAUGCACAAGUGUUUCUUUAGAUUUAGCUUUUAUUAUUCUCAAUGUUUUAUAAGAUUAUGCAAUCAAGAUAGGUAGUUAUUUUUCAAACAAAAUGCGGUAAAAUAAAAAGAAGUAACUGAAUAAUGACCGAAUUUUAUUGAUUUUGAAAAUUUUGUACAUAUGAAGGUGUGUACAAGGAAGCAAAAAUCCUUAAAGAGGAGAUUUCAAAAAUUGAAAACAAAGUAAAUGGCAAUGGGAAAUUUGUUUGAUUUUCCACUUAUUACAACAUUGGCUAUUAUUCAUUGUAGCACUGAGCUCCAACAUUUUGCUUCUAUUAACGAUGAUUUGACUGAUCUGAUAUCGUCCGAGGUCAAGCUUAUGGUAAGAUAGGCUCAAGAGAUAUAGCCAAAUGCCUUUAUCUCUAAAUUUUGCAUGGAAUUUUU
rnacentral:lncRNA from 1 species